rnacentral:tRNA from 1 species
AGAAACUUAGGAUCAAUCCAUAAACCGAAGGCCUUCAAAGCCUUAAACAAGAGUUAAACCCUCUUAGUUUCUG